CCCCUACGGAAGCCAACAUAAAGCUGUAUUUGGCUGCUUGUCUGCCAUGGGCUUUUGAGUACUAUCUACUGUGAUCAUUUGUUCCCCCCAGCACUAUCCUCAGCAAUUGGACCUGGCAGCUUGCUUCAAGAGGCAGAGGCUGGUUUCUCAUGCAAAACCUUUGCUAGCCUAAAGUGACUUCCACCUGCCAUUUCGCUGCUCUUCCUCAGCCGUACGUCAGCUGGCCCAGCCUGGCCCCACAGCCUGCUGCGCGGCGGCGGGGAGGCUACAGGAGCGCUGCGCGGCAGUGGGCGAUGCAGGUGUGGGCAAUGCCGGCACCGAGGGCAGUGCCAUGCCACGACGCCUGUUGAGAAGGAUGCAUUGAUGGGCAAAAGGGUGGAGUACAGAGGGGAAAGAAGGGGACUGUACUGUUGUCUGAUGCUCUUAAGAGGGCAGAUGAGCCAAGGGAUGAUUUAGCCGCUGGCAUUUCCCAACAUAAAUGGGUAUCAAACCUUUUGCUAACAUUUGGCCAAGCUACUCAUAACUCGUUCAUAGUGACCCACUGUGUUGCUCUUCAUGGGAGGAGAGGAAGAGACAAACACAUUGGGGGUGUCAAAGGUAGAAGUCUUCAGAGUCACAACAAGGACUCUCCUCAUACGUAUCCAGAUAAUACAAAAAGUCUUCCUGUGGGGCAGAUGACACAUUUUUUUAAACUGCAAAGACAUUUGAUUAAUGAUGUACUAACAGGUGUCAGUCACUUGGAUCAACUCUGACAAUUCUGGAAAUAGUGAAAUACAACUGUCCAGAACGGAAAAAUGUGUGUUUCCCUAUGACUGUAUUACAGCUGACUCAGCCUUGGCCCCUGAUAGCCAUCACUCAUGCUUCCCAACUCAGCUGCUUCGGUGGCUUGGCUAGGAGGAGCCAUUAAACAUGCCGUCCUCCCGUACAAGUAGCCGAGGCACUCUGCCCACGUGCCCCAGCAUGCCGACUUCACACAGCACCUCAAACACGUACCCAGCCUACCACUGGCUCUUUUUUCUUGGACUUUCUGCCCAGCUCUCGGUGACUACAGGAAACACAAAGCCUUUGUUUGUACAACUGUAUGGUCCAAGCGCUUAUUCCUAAUAGACUCUGACAGCACACACCACGAGGAAUGCUGCGAUAUAUGAAAGAGCAACAUUUGCCACUAGCCUCUGUCCGUUAAGAGCAAAAACUCAGUCUGCCCUUUGUAAAUAUAAUCAGCAGAAGUGAAGCAUUUGCCCUUUUCACAAGAAAGAACACUCUCAGAGGCAGACAGAAACGUUCUAGCAAAAAUCCUUAACACAUUCAAAAGGAAAAGGCUCUACAUUCUCUGAAUUUUUCCAUCAGAAUAUUUCUCAGUCCUCAAGGACUAAAUAGUCCAGGAAAAGCUGCAGCCUCCUUUUUAGGUGGUUAAGUCCUCUGUACUACUCAAAUAUUGGGCCAAACAUAGACUGUAUUCGGUGGGGAAAAGCCAAAGUGGUCAAAACGUGGAAGCCAAGGCCCUAAAAUCUGGAGAAUUCAUUCUGCAGGUUUUGGAGGCAGAAAUAAAGUCAGGGUCUUAGAGGUAGAGCCAGGUUAUCUUUGCAAUCUGCUCCCUUGUUGAAGUUAUCCUGUGGGCUGGGAAUGAGUUUUCUCGGCAUAUGGUGCAGUUCUUCAUGGAAGAAAAAUAUGCCUAUUGCUCUUGUUAGAAGAGAUUUUUUUUCAUCAAAUC